GGGGAUGUAGCUCAGCUGGCUAGAGCGCUUGACUGGCAGUCAAGAGGUAGUGGGUAAAAUUUAAUUUAUUCAAACCCU
rnacentral:tRNA from 1 species